GUCCACGCUGUAAACGAUGACGACUAGGUGUUGGGGGGUUCAGUCCCUUCCGUGCCGCAGCUAACGCAUUAAGUCGUCCGCCUGGGGAGUACGGCCGCAAGGUUGAAACUCAAAGGAAUUGACGGGGGCCCGCACAAGCGGUGGAGCAUGUGGUUCAAUUCGAUGCAGAGCGAAGAACCUUACCUGGGCUUGACAUGCAGGAAGUAGAAACCGGAAACGGCGACGACCUGUUAAGUCAGGAACCUGCACAGGUGGUGCAUGGCUGUCGU
rnacentral:rRNA from 1 species